rnacentral:lncRNA from 1 species
GGCGUAACCGUAAAAAUGCUGACGCAAUGGUCCUAGCCAGUGCGCGUUUGAGAGGCAUUCACCCCCCUGGUAACUAUUCAAAAUUGCGGACGUCCAGACGGGGGGGGGGAUGCCUCUCAAACGCGCACUGGUUAGGGAUUACAAGCCAGAUUAUAACCCAUACCCUAGGUACAAAUAUUGGGUAUGGGUUAUAAUCUGGCAUGACUUGGCCUUAUGUUGAAAAGUAUUGUAUAUUGCUGUAUUGCUAGUGGUUAUCAAUGGUGGUUCAAUGAGUAGAGUGACUUCAUAGUAUUAUUUAUUAGCUAGCAAUUUUUAGCCUAAUUUAAGUAGUAGUAGUGUUAUAAAUUCAUGAUUUCAAAUCUAAGCCACAGAAGGUCGAGUCGACCUUUUGUGGGCCUUAUUGGUCCCCUGGGGAGUACCCAGGGGAGUGCUAUUUUUUAUGAUCAAGCAAAAAAAUAAUAGAGACAAAAUGACAUACGGUAAUUUGAGUAAUAACAUGAUGACAAGCGAACUGUGAAAAAGAAUUACAAUUCAAAUAGAGUAUGUUGAUGAACGGGCGGCACACAUGCCGACACAGCUCGGCACCACAACCUCGUUCCCAGGCUCUUCCCUCUUUAGGAGGAGCGUAGUGGAAAGAGCCUGGGUACGAGGUUGCUCGGCCCCAGAUCUGGCAGUGCCCCACCCCCACCAGAUCAUGCUGGAUCCAUCCUUGCUGCAGUUCAUUAAUAAAUUUCUUAAAUAAAUUUCUUCAAGAUUUCUUGAAUCAUCAUUAAUCAUCCCAUUCACUUUCACCCACAAUAUCAGGUUGAUCUAACGUCUUUUCAUUUUGUCUAUUCAUCAAAAUAAUUUUCUCCGUCCACGAUGACCUCACAUGACCUAGUAAAAUU